UCCAACAUACGCUUCCGCGAUCCACGCCUAUUCCUCCAUUUCCGCCUUCCCGGCUCACCCGCCACUUCUGCGGUCACCGCUUAAGCGGCUCUCCUUCCGCAGAAGCGGAAAUACCAGAAGACAGAUAUGUUUUCAUGCAAUAAACUCCAAAACCUCCGAUCAACCAUCCAGAAAUACCCCGAGGCCCCAGGGAACCCAACCAAAACAACCAUCCUAUGCCAAAACAUCAGACGAACUUGCUCCAAUCAUAAAAACACGUCCUUAAACACAAAAAUCAUCAAAUCAUGACGGAUUCAAGCCUAAGUUUCUUAAGAACUUCCAAAAUGCGCAUACAAUCCAAAACCCAACCAAACGACAUCCGAAUGACCUGAAAAUUUACAAACAUAUCCAAAAUCACCAAAUGAAGCUAAUGCAACUCUAGGGAUUCCAUUCCAACCCUCAAAUCAAAAUCUCAUCUAUCAACCUGAAUUCGCCGAAAUUCAACUUAGCCAAUUCAAGCCUAAUUCUAC
rnacentral:lncRNA from 1 species